UAUGUACCUAAAAGUGUUUUAUUACGCC
rnacentral:sRNA from 1 species